GCUUCCUUGGCUCAGUUGGUAGAGCGUUGGUCUCAUAUAUUUAAGUAUGAGUAAUUCUUGAAGAACUACCCAAAUCCAAAGGUCGUCAGUUCGAGCCUGACAGGGAGCA
rnacentral:tRNA from 1 species